AUUGAACGCUGGCGGCAGGCCUAACACAUGCAAGUCGAGCGGAUGAUGGGAGCUUGCUCCUGGAUUCAGCGGCGGACGGUUGAGUAAUGCCUAGGAAUCUUCCCGCGAGUGGGGGAUAACGCCUGCAAACGGGUGCUAAUACCGCAUACGUCCUGAUGCAGCAUGUGGCGGCUCUUCGGCCCUCUCGCUAUCAGAUGACUCUAGUUCGGAUUAGAUAGUUGGGGUGGUAAAGGCCUACCAAGGCGAGGACCCGUAACUGGUCUGAGAGGCUGAUCAGUCACACUGGAACUGAGACACGGUCCACACUCCUACGGGAGGCAGCAGUGGGGAAUAUUGGGGGAUGGACGAGAGGCUAAUCCAGCCAUGCCGCGUGUGUGAAGAAGGUCUUCGGAUUGUAGAGCACAUUAAGUUGGGAGGAAGGACAGUAAGUUAAUACCUUGCUGUUUUGACGUUACCAACAGAAUAAGCACCGGCUAACUUCGUG
rnacentral:rRNA from 1 species